GCAGGAGAAGAAGGAGAAAAUGCCGAAGAAGAUGACCAAAGACAAUCUCGUUGAGUACUCCUUUAAGAACAAGGGUACUGCGAAGACACAGCACACCCUUCCUCCAGCGCCAAUUCUGUUGGUGCAGAAUUUUGCCGACACCGAAAAAGCUGGAGUUGAGGGGAUCGAGGCCGCCUUCGAGAUCUGUAAGGGAAGUCUUAACCAAAGUUGGGGGUGCUCCAGCAAGACUCUCUGAUGCUCAAGUAAGUACUCUAUCUCAACAGAAAUGGAACACUCAAAUAGGAUUUUAGCAGAGUUUCAAGAUAGAGUCUAGAGAUUAGAAAAGAACGUAUCUGGGGGUCUCUUUUUAUAGAUGAAGAGCAUAACUGAUUGACAGUGACGUCUGUAACUGCCUGGUAGUGGGUCGUUCGGGGCCACGCAAAGUUUGUUAUGGAGAGUAAUGGCAUCAGGGGGCCAUUUAGGGCCACGUGGAUUUUGUUAUGGGGAGUGGAGUGGUAUCCGUUGUCGUAACUUGCCAGAGAGUUCGGGCCUGAUGGCUGAAGCUCGACUGGGACGUCUGGUGGAGCAGAAUGGCUCUCUGUCUCAGUAAUCUAAAAGAAGCUCUGAUGUUUCUGAGGUUGCUGACGAGUCCA
rnacentral:lncRNA from 1 species